UACGUAGGGUGCAAGCGUUGUCCGGAAUCACUGGGCGUAAAGGGCGCGUAGGCGGCUCAUGAAGGCUGUGGUGAAAGUCCGGGGCCCAACCUCGGAUCGGCCGUGGCGACUCGUGGGCUGGAGCACUGUAGAGGCGGGUGGAAUUCCGGGUGUAGCGGUGGAAUGCGUAGAGAUCCGGAAGAACACCAGUGGCGAAGGCGGCCCGCUGGGCAGUGGCUGACGCUGAGGCGCGACAGCGUGGGGAGCAAACAGG
rnacentral:rRNA from 1 species